CCGCGUCUCGGCGCGUACGGUCGAACCCGAACCGGCGGCGCUGAAUCGCGUCACCGCCGAGAUGCCGCUCCCCGUCCUCUCCCAGCCGCCUCCUAUCACUGCCACUACCCCACGCGGUGCCGGUCACGGCCCUUCACCGCGUUCUAUCUUCCCGUUCGCUUCCCUCUCUUCCGCCCCAAACCCAAUCCCCUUCCUCCGCCUCCCAUCGAUCUGUGCUCCUUCUCUACCUCCUCCUCCACCACCGCUGCUCCCUCCGCCAGUGUGCUUCGAGAAGCCGCCGCCGAACCCCUUCCGUCCCCCGAACUCCCUCCUCUUGCUUAUCGUAUUCGCAGGGCUAUUAUCUGCUUGGGCCUUCUUCCGCGCCCUCCCUGCCGACUUCCGGGAACGAUGGUGCCGCCUGCGGGAGUCUUCGAAGGGGGCGGAGGCGAAGAUCUUGGAGCUCCCAUUGCACCUUAUUCAGGCUGUCAUUGCGUCGGAGGAUCGCCGGUUCUUCUACCACAUUGGGGUUGAUCCUUACGGGAUCGGACGCGCUGUGGUCCGUUACCCUAAAGGCGGAGGCGGGAGCACCAUCACCCAGCAGCUUGUGAAGAAUGUCUUCUUGACAAGUGAACGGAAGAUCUCAAGAAAAUUUUUUGAGGGAAUAUUAUCUCUAUUACUGGAGAGGAAAAUGUCGAAGUGGGAAAUACUGUACUCUUAUUUGAGCAAGAUGUACUGGGGACAUGGUAAUUACGGGAUCGAAUCAGCAUCACUUUUUUACUUCAGAAAACAUCCUUCUCUUCUUAACUUGGGGGAGUCGGCAUUGCUAGCUGGGAUUUUACCUUCUCCCGAGACCUUUAAUCCAUUGACAAGUCCAACAAGGGGCAAGAAUUCUCAAGCGAGGGUAUUAAGGAGAAUGGUUACUGCCGGAUUUCUUGAUUUGGAGACUGCACUUGUGGCUGUGAGUCAGCCUCUUUACUUGCAUAAUAUUAACUUUGAAGAUGAAAACAAGGAAUAUGAGCAUUGCAGGAAACAUAGAGGCCUAAGCUCAAUCAAAGAUAUUUGGGACUGGGAAAUGGCAAGCAUACUUCACGAAGCAAGAGAAAAUAUGGAAAAAAUGGGCCACAGGAUGUACAAAUAUAGCCAUUAAUGAUUUCUCUGCAACAUCAACAGUAUCUUAUUAUGCAGAAUGGAGUUUUCUUGUAUACACAUGGAGUGCUAUUCAGCCAAUUGUCACCCUUAAGGAUUGCACAAGCAAGUGGAAAUGUGGCAUACACCAUUGAAGGUGAUCGAGAAAUGAUAAAGCUGGAUACAUUGGUGGAUCUUGGAGAUGCAAUAAUGAGCUGUAUGUAUUGCACCAUCUUUUUUAGUUAUUUUAUUUUUUUAAAUAAAAUGAGUGAUAUAUUUAAAUUGGUUCUUUCAUUAUUUGUUUUCAUUUCUUUCUAAGUUUAACUUUUACUUAUAUAUCUGCAUAGUUUCCAUUUGAUACUUAACAAAAUAAUAAUUAUUUUUUUUUUAAACUUGUGGUGGAGAGAGGAACACAUCAAGUAUGGCUACUUAGAUUUUUUGGGAUAUAUAGUGCAAAUAAUCAUAAUAACACUUCACUUUGUAUCUAUAAUUUUUUAUAUCUAUUGAUUCAAUUUAUAUAUGAAAAUGGUUUCUCUACUGACAGUACAUAUCUUCAGUAAUCUUAAUCAUAUUAUAAUGUCUUAUAAAUAUUAAAUUUAAAAAAUGAUAGUGUUUUUUUUUAGUUUGAUGAUGCAUAUGUAACAUUUUUAGUUUGUAAAUCCACAAAAACAUAAGAAUGUAAUAUGUUGUCCAUAAAUAUGAAGUUGAAAGAAACUGUUGCUUUACUGUAGAACAAAACAAAACAAGGUAAUUGCACAACUUAGAGCAUUACAUGUCAACUCAUUUGUUAAAUAUAGCCACCACCCUACUGAGGGAGUUCACAAUAAUCCUUUUUAUAUAGUUAUUAUAAUUCCAUAAAAACAAAAUAAAACUCGAUGUGGUAGCCAGUGAUUUAAAAAGUGCUAGGCGCCAAGGUCCAAAAAAGCCUAAGGCGCUAGACGCUCGCUCGAGCGAAGCGAGGCACUAAAAUAUAAAAAUAUAUAAUAUAAUUAAUAAAUAUAAUUAUUUAAAAUUUUAAAUAAAAAUAUGCUAUUUUAAAUAAAAAUUCUAGUCACGAGCAGAGGGAAAGCUCACGGGAGGGCUCGCGAGAGGCACGAGUAGCUAGGAGGGCUCGCGGGAGGCGCGUGUAGAGGGAAGGCUCACGGGAGGGCUCACGGGAGGGCUCGCGGGAGGGCUCACGGGAGUCGCGAGCAACGAGAGGGCUCGCGGGAGGCGCGAGCAGCUGGAGGGCUCGCGGGAGGCGCGAGCAGCUGGAGGGCUCGCGGGAGGCAGCGGAAGCAGAAGCGACGAGCAGCGAGAUCGAGAGCGGCAACGACAACGUGUUAGGGUUGGGUAAGGGUUAUAUCGGUUUAGUUGGUUCGAUUGAACCAACUAACAACCGAAUCAGGACCGAACCAGACCUAAAAUCCUAGUUCGAUCACUUGGUUUACCUAGGCGCUCGCCCGAAGCGCCCAGCGCCUGGGCACGAGCGAGCGCCCAGGCGGUGCCUGUUUGAAGCGCGCCGCCUGGGACAUUAGCAAGGCGCUCGGGCCUCGCCUCGCCUCGCCCGAGCGCCUAGGUGAGCACCCGAGCGCCUCUUUCAAUCACUGGUGGUAGCAAUAGCCACCAUAUGGAUAGCACAUUUCAACCCAAGAUUCUUCAUUUACUU